UGGAUUGAACAGUUGCUGGGGAGCUACGUUGAGGAGAAUACAAACUAUUUGGACAUGUUUCAUUACAGGUUUUUAUAUCGUUUUGAUCCUAUUUUCACAAGUUUGAUGAAUUUUCAAAACUCUUAGUACAAAACUCCAAACUGGUAACACUUAACACAGCCAGUCUUACAUUCAAAAGCUUUCAUUGAGCAUUAAUUUUGUUUGUAGACAUCUUUCACCACAGAACAAUUGAUUUGUGAAAUGAGUUUAAUCACAAACACAAAAUGAUAUUCUCAAUGUAGUUAUUUUAACAACCAGUUACUCCAAUAUCAAAAAAAAUGUAAGAUACAUGUUUCAAAAUUGCCUUUGAAUAUAGUAUGCUACAGUACUGUAAAUUAUAGUACAUUACACUGAUUUCACAAACUUGCACAACCCAUUAAAAUUGACUUAGCAUUACAUUUCUAUCCCAUGUGUGAUCAUUGAAGACAUCUUUCACAAUGUAAUUAAAUGAAAGAAACCACGUUUAGCAGGCACUAGUUUGCAUCAAGCCUGUCUGGACCAUUUGGACAUAGGUUCUCACAAAAAAAAUUGCAGUAAAUAUCCUCAUUGUUCAUUCACCUGGGGAAAACCAUUCUGGCAUGGCACAUCCACACCUGACAUACAAUGAGUGUCAGUGGAGGCUGCUGAGGGGAGGAUGGCUCAUAAUAAUGGAUGAAACAAAGUGAUGGACUGUCAUGUGUUUGCUGUAUUUGAUACCAUUCCACCAAUUCCACCCAGCCAUUACCACAAGUCCAUUCUCUCCAAUUAAGGUGCCACCAACCUCCUGUGCUGAAUGUACAAAAUAUUAGGUCUCUUUCCAUGAAAAACUGACCAGGUGAAAGCUAAGAUCCUUUAUUGAUGUCACAAGAAUUAAGCCUUGACAUCAAAUCCAAUUUUGUGUGUCACAUGCGCAGAAUACAACAAGUGUAGACCUUACCGUGAAAUACUUACUUACAAGCCCUUUAAUCAACAAUGCAGUUAUGAAAAAUAUUUACUAAAUAGACAAAAGUUUUUUUUUAAAGUUGAGCACCAAUACAAUAACGAGGCUAUAUACAUGGCUACCGAUACUGAGUCGAUGUGCGGGGGUACAGGUUAGUCAAGGUAACUGAGGUAAUAUGUACAUGUAGGUAGGGGUAAAGUAAUUAUGCAAGGAUAAUAGAUAAUAAACAGCAAGUAGCAGCAGCGUGAAAAAAAAGGGGGGGGGGUCAAUGGAAAUAGUUUGGGUAGCCAUUUGAUUAGCUGUUUAGCAGUCUUAUGGCUUGGGGGUAGAAGCUAUUAAGAAAAACGAUUGUUUGUACAGAUGAACGUGGUACCUUCAGGCAUUUGGAAAUUGCUCCCAAGGAUGAACCAGACUUGUGGAGGUCAACAAUUUUGUUUCUGAGGUCUUGGCAGAUUUCCCCAUGAUGUCAAGCAAAGAGGCACUGAGUUUGAAGGUAGGCCUUGAAAUACAUCCACAGGUACACCUCCAAUUGACUCAAAUUAUGUCAAUUAGCCUAUCAGAAGCUUCUAAAACCAUGGCAUUAUUUUCUGGAAUUUUCCAAGCUGUUAAAAGGCACAGUCAACUUAAUGUAUGUAAACUUCUGACCCACUGGAAUUGUGAUACAGUGAAUUACAAGUUAAAUAAUCUAUCCGUAAACAAUUGUUUGAAAAAUUACUUGUCAUUCACAAAGUAGAAGUCAUAACUGACUUGCCAAAACUAUAGUUAACAAGAAAUUUGUGGAGUGUUUGAAAAACUGAUUUGAAUGACUCCAACCUAAGUGUAUGUAAACUUCUGACUUCAACUGUAUGUAUAUAGGUCAUUUCUGUUUUUGCUUUUUUAAUAUUUUGCCAAAAAUUGCAAAAAAAUACUUUUCACUUUGCAUUUUGGGGUAUUCUGAGUAGAUUGAGGGACUUUAUUAAAAAUCAAUUUUAGAAUAAUGCUAACAAAAUGUGGAAAUGGUCAAGGGGUCUGAAUACUUCCGAAUGCACUGUAUAUUAUGGCAUUAAAUUAAAUCAAAUUUUAUUUGUCACAUGCGCCGAAUACAACAGGUACCUUACAGUGAAAUGCUUACCUACAAGCCCUUAACCAACAAUUCCAUUUUAAGAAAAUACCCUCCCCAAAAAAGUAAGAGAUAAGAAUAACAAAUAAUUAAAGAGCAGCAGAAAAUAACAAUAACGGGGCUAUAUACAGGGGGUACCGGUACAGAGUCAAUGUGCGUGGGCACUGGUGUUGAGGUAAUUAUGUACAUGCAGGUAGGGUUAUUAAAGUGACUAUGCAUAGAUAAUAACAGAGAGUAGAAGCAGCGUGGCGGGGGGCAAUGCAAAUAGUCUUGUGGAGACAUUUGAUUAGCUUUUCAGGAGUUAAUGUUAGAGAACCCUUUUGCAAUUAUGUUAGCACAGCUGAAAACUGUUGUUCUGAUUAAAGCUAUACAACUGGCCUUCAUUAAACUAGUUGAGUAUCUGGAGCGUAAGCAUGUGGGUUCGAUUACAGGCUCAAAAUGGCCAGAAACAAAGCAUUUUCUUUUGAAACUCGUCAGUCUAUUCUUGUUCUGAGAAAUGAAGGCUAUUCCAUGUGAGAAAUUGCCAAGAAACUGAAGAUCUCGUUCAACGCUGUGUACUACUCCGUUCACAGAACAGCGCAAACUGGCCCUAACCAGAAUAGAAAGAGGAGUGGGAGGCCCCGGUGCACAACUGAGCAAGAGGACAAGUACAUUAGUGUCUAGUUUGAGAAACAGACGCCUCACAAGUCCUCAACUGGCAGCUUCAUUAAAUAGUACCCGCAAAACACCAGUCCCAACAUCAACAGUGAAGAGGCGACCCUUGGAAUGCUGGCCUUCUAGGUAGAUUUGCAAAAAAAAAGCCUCAUUUUACAGACGUCUCAGUUUAGAAGCUGAAAUCCUUUGCCAAUUUAAUAUCUCCCAUAGAAGUGAAGGUGUGUUUUUUGUUGAUGACUAAGACAAAUGGGAAACUUCUGUUCUUUAAUUAAAAUUGUAAAAACAAUUCAUGAAUAUUUUUUUUUAUAACGUAAUUUCACAAAAUUACGUGUGGACUGUAACAAGCACAUUACAGUUUCAGUGUUUGAAAAUGAAUAGUACUGCUCCCUAUUUGAUGGUACAUUCCAGUCAAAAGAAAUUGAGUACCUGACUCCUCCCUAUUAAUCACAAAUGUACUCUAAUUCAUUAAGCUGGAGACCCAUAAUUGGCAACAAUUAAAAAUAAUCAGGCCCAUUGUUAAACUUUUGCAUGGCCAUAAAUAUACUAUAAAACAUGCUACCAUGAGCGUCCAUGUGGUAAACAUGAUACAAAAAUAAAUAAGUUAGAAAAACACAGGUUAAAAAAUGAAAUUAGUUAUCCCAAAUCACCUAAUAGUUAGACAACACAUUUAUUUUCACCAUAACACAGUAAAUUCAAGCAAGAAAAAAAGUGGUUGUGUCAGUAACUAUUGUGCCAUCUUCGACAAGUUUGUUACUGAAUGCUGUAAUGCAUUGUGGUUAGAGUGUUGGACUAAUAACCAGAAGGUUGCAAGUUCAAACCCCUGAGAUGACAAGGUACAAAUCUGUCGUUCUGCCCCUGAACAGGCAGUUAACCUACUGUUCCUAGGCCGUCAUUGAAAAUAAGAAUUUGUUCUUAACUGACUUGCCUAGUUAAAUAAAGGUAAAACAUUUUAAAAAUCCUAAAAUGAAGUACUAUUCCGGUAUCUAUACAAGUCCAUAAUCAUGAAUCUGGGUUUCCAACCAUCUUUAUCAAAGGUUCAUCGUCAGAGCAGUCUUGUGACUGAUUUCUCUUCUCUGCCAUAGCUUCUGGUGAAGAAUGAGGGGAAUUCGUGACCAUCUUUAACAAGAGUUAAUCAUCAGAGUUCUCCUCUUCCAAAUAAAUACACAAAAAACCUAUGAGUACUGCAUAAUAGGUAUACACUGACAGAUUCCAAUGUGAUUUAUCAAACAGUGCAGCUCUCAACUAUGUCAAAGAUAAUCCAAAUGGGAAGGGAAAUAUACAAUAAGUGGAAUUCUUACCUGCACUUCUUUCGCCAGCGUUUCCCACAUUGGCUCUAUAGUAAUCUUCCAAGGCUUCUUUAGUUUCACACCUCUCCAGAAUAACCAUCAGGGUCUUCAUUGAUGGAUUCCUCACCAUCUUCUUGAUCAACAGCUCAUCAUCUAAUCUAUCAUCCAAAGACCCUGAGAAAGCAAUACAAAUCAACCGUUGCAUAACAAGACUCAACCUAACCUAAUCUUCUAGGGUGUAUUUUGGAUGGUUUUAAAUCCAUGCUUCGACAUGUGCUGAAAAAUUGUCACCUUCACUUGUGCUUUGAACAAUGUUGGUGCUCCAUCUGUUGACUGCUUUGUUUGUCUUUCCUGGCACACUCUUCUUCGCUGGUGUCGUGGUCUUCUUUACAGCUUUAAGAGGCUUUUUAACUAGGCUAAUUAAGGGCUCGUCAUCAGAAUCAGAAUUCACCUCUUCCUC
ensembl:lncRNA